AUGACUCAUUAUAGGGAUCAUCACUGUCAUUUGUUACCAAAGGCGCUUUGUUUCUAUGGAAGUGUAGAGCUUGGGAAACCACGAGGAGGAGGCACAGUGCUGUUUCCUGAGUGUAAAGUGGACUCUUGGUGUUGCUUUGCUGAAGCUACCAUUUGCCAUUGAUGAAGCUUCUUCUCUUCCUUUGGUGAGUAAGAGGGAGUGAACAGUCAGUCAAAGUAGU
ensembl:snoRNA U3 Small nucleolar RNA U3